UUGACUGUGCUAAGGUAGCAUAAUAAAUUGGCUUUUAAUUGAAGUCGGGAAUGAAAGGGUGUUUGGAGUUAUUCUGUCUUAUUUUUAUUUUUUAAAAAUUACUAAUGAGGUGAAAAUUCCUCAGUGUUAUCUGAUAGACGAGAAGACCCUAAGAAUUAUUACAACUGUUUAAAUAUUAAAUAAAAGUUUUUGUUGGGGCAACAACUUUGGUUAACCAAAGUUAAAUAAAUUAUUUUUGAAAAGAUCGUAUUAAAAAUAAAUUUAAUUACCUUAGGGAUAACAGCAUAAUUAUAAUAUUUUUAGAUUGUGACCUCGAUGUUGGAUUAAGGCCU
rnacentral:rRNA from 1 species